UCAUCGCUAGAGGGAGGANGGACACCNCUAGACUUAUAGGCUUUGCCUGGCUCUGUUACCUGACGUCUGAUGCAAAGUGAAACCCCGGGGGUCUCGCGCGCGGAUUGGACGUGUCCACCUCGUCGCCCUGGCAAGGACCGUCUGAUAAAACUUAAUAGUUACAACUUUCAACAACGGAUCUCUUGGUUCUGGCUUCGUUUAAAAACCCUGUGAAGGGCCAUAAGUUCUGUGAAUUGCAGAAUUCAUGGAAUCUUCAAAUCUUUGAACGCACAUUGCGCCCCUUGGUAUUCCAUGGGGCAUGCCUGUUCAAACGUCAUUUGUACCUUCAAGCUCUGCUUGGCGUUGGGUGUUUGUCUCGCCUCAGAAUUCAGACGCUCCUCAAAACAAUUGGCAACCGGCGUAUUGAUUUCGGACCGCAGUACAUCUCGCGCUUUGCACUCGUAACGACGACAUCCAAAAGUACAUUUUUACACUCUUGACCUCGGAUCAGGUAGGGAUACCCGCUGAACUUAACCAUAUCAAUAACCGGAGGAUAGANACCCUCCCGAGGUUAAUGAGGCGAACCGGGGGAACUGAAACUUCUAAGUACCCCGAGGAAACAAACCCAACCAUCUACUCAUUAUCUUUAAUCUGAAUCCUUAGGUUGAUGAGGCGGAACCAGCUGGAACUUCUACAUCUCCCCUACCCGAAGAAUAAAACCUAAAAAACAGAAAAC
rnacentral:rRNA from 1 species